GACGAACGCUGGCGGCGUGCUUAACACAUGCAAGUCGAACGGAAAGGCCCUGCUUUUGUGGGGUGCUCGAGUGGCGAACGGGUGAGUAACACGUGAGUAACCUGCCCUUGACUUUGGGAUAACUUCAGGAAACUGGGGCUAAUACCGGAUAGGAGCUCCUGCUGCAUGGUGGGGGUUGGAAAGUCUCGGCGGUUGGGGCUGGACUCGCGGCUUAUCAGCUUGUUGGUGGGGUAGUGGCUUACCAAGGCUUUGACGGGUAGCCGGCCCGGGAGGGUGACCGGGCACAAUGGGACUGGGGGACGGACCAGACUCCUACGGGAGGCAGCAGUGGGGAAUAUUGCACAAUGGGCGGAAGCCUGAUGCAGCAACGCCGCGUGCGGGAUGACGGCCUUCGGGUUGUAAACCGCUUUCGCCUGUGACGAAGCGUGAGUGACGGUAAUGGGUAAAGAAGCACCGGCUAACUACGUG
rnacentral:rRNA from 1 species